CUUCAUCACAACAGGCCCUGGCUGGAGAUACAGAGACUCAUCACAACAGGCCCUGGCUGGAGAUACAGAGACUCAUCACAACAGGCCCUGGCUGGAGAUACAGAGACUCAUCACAACAGAGAUUCAUCACAACAGGCCCUGGCUGGAGAUACAGAGACUCAUCACAACAGAGAUUCAUCACAACAGAGAUUCAUCACAACAGAGAUUCAUCACAACAGGCCCUGGCUGGAGAUACAGAGACUCAUCACAACAGAGAUUCAUCACAACAGGCCCUGGCUGGAGAUACAGAGAUUCAUCACAACAGGCCCUGGCUGGAGAUACGGAGAUUCAUCACAACAGAGAUUCAUCACAACAGGCCCUGGCUGGAGAUACAGAGAUUCAUCACAACAGAGAUUCAUCACAACAGGCCCUGGCUGGAGAUACAGAGAUUCAUCACAACAGAGAUUCAUCACAACAGGCCCUGGCUGGAGAUACGGAGAUUCAUCACAACAGAG
ensembl:lncRNA